rnacentral:rRNA from 1 species
GACGUAGGAUGCAAGCGUUGUCCGGAAUUAUUGGGCGUAAAGCGUACGUAGGCGGUUUUCUAAGUCUGGGGUUAAAGACCGAGGCUCAACCUCGGGAGUGCCCUGGAAACUGGAAGGCUGGAGGACGGCAGAGGAAAGUGGAAUUCCCAGUGUAGCGGUGAAAUGCGUAGAUAUUGGGAGGAACACCAGUGGCGAAAGCGACUUUCUGGGCCGUUCCUGACGCUGAGGUACGAAAGCUAGGGGAG